UAAUACGUAGGGGGCGAGCGUUAUUCGGAAUUACUGGGUGUAAAGGGUAUGUAGGCGGUCUCGCGAGUCGCACGUCAAAGUCCAGCGCUCAACGCUGGGUUCGCGCGCGAUACUGUGGGACUAGAGGGCUGGAGAGGUGAGCGGAAUUCCCGGUGUAGUGGUAAAAUACGUAGAUAUCGGGAGGAACACCAGCGGCGUAGGCGGCUCACUAGACAGUUUCUGACGCUAAGAUACGAAAGCGUGGGGAGCAAACAGG
rnacentral:rRNA from 1 species